rnacentral:lncRNA from 1 species
CAGCUCUUUCCUCUCUGCUCUGCGUCCACAGGCUCCCAGAGGCAGAGUCGGCAGAGGAGCACCGCUGGAAUUUGUGGCUGUUUUUCUCUCCUCUCAGCGGGGGUCGCCACUGAAGUGCCGCUUUAAUCCCAGGCCCAGCGCGGUGGGUUAAGGAUCCAGUGCUGGCGUCGCUGUCACAUAGGCUGCAGCUGUGGCUGGAAUUCGAUCCCGGGCCCAGGAGCUCCCAUGUGCUGCAGGGCCACAGAAGGAAAUCGCCCAUCUGGUCUUUUCUACCCCAACCCUCCCGUCAACAUCAGAAAGCGUGACCCGUUUCCCUGGAGCACGCCUGACAUCCACACCAGCCUCCCCUGGGGGACCUUUACCCUUGGCGAGGGUAGGAGGAGCUCACAGCCCUCUCUGCAGAAAGCAAAUAGCCUUUGGUGACAAGGACAUCUUCCUAAUAAGCUGACUGUCUUGGAAGCGUGGGGACAGCCAGCUACUUCAUCAAGUCGCAAUCUCCAGGCUGUGAAGAACCUUCACGAAGGGACCUUGGAACAAUUAACUUCUGAUCAUUACUGAUGUGGGGUUUAGAACAAACACAGAAUGGGCCACCUGAUGCCAGGGGAUGACAGUCUGUGAACACAGGCCCAAUGAUGCCCCUGUCGGCCUCACCAGUGAGGUGCACAGAGCCCACAUGCCCAGGACGGUGCUGGGGAGUUAACUCGUGCUGGUCAACUAGUUAGGCUUAUGAGCCUGUGGGUGCUGACUGCUUUGGAGAAAUGCAGCCAGCUGUCUCGAUCAGAUAACAGGUUAUCAAAGGACCUGGAUGUUUGGAGUAACUUUGUCGGGAGACGGUGUUUCACACACAUGCAUUGUCUUCCCCGCUGAGGUCCCGGCUGUGACCCGACCUUGGGCAGAGGAGGAGGUGGAUGUCACUGGGUGGACAGGACAGUUAUUAUCAGCCCCCCAGACACUGUCUCUGAGUCCAGAUCUCACACGAGCAAUGCACACUGCGGGGCGCAGACACGCACCCUCCACCCAUGCUGCAAAUUCAGAUCCACAGCGAGUCGUGGGAGGAUUUUCACUGUCAACACAAUUUACUUAGAAGAUGAGGACACUGAAAGCAAGUAGCCCUUCAGGUGGUUUUUGGUAUCAUAAAAGCAGCAAAUAGGUAAAUAUUUGCAUUUCUUUUGAAUGUGAAAACAUCUCUUAUUUCAGCAGCAUUCUUCUAGGACAAAAAAUACUUCAUCAACAAUACUGGCUAAAUAUGUGACCUUUGCAUGAACCUAAAUAUGCAUUUAUACCCAAGGCUCUAGAUGUUAAUCAUUUAAAUGUCAAAACAUGCAUUUAUAUAUGGAGCUACGUAAUAAGCAGAUAUUAACCUUAUUUGUUUGUAUUAAUUUUAUUAACAUAAAGCCCUAAACUUGAAAUUCUCUGAUUUUUUUUUUUUUUUUUUUUUUUUUUUUUGUCUUUUUGCUAUUUCUUUGGGCCGCUGCUGCGGCAUAUGGAGGUUCCCAGGCUAGGGGUUGAAUCGGAGCUGUAGCCCCCGGCCUACGCCAGAGCCACAGCAAGGCGGGAUCCGAGCCGCGUCUGCAACCUACACCACAGCUCACGGCAACGCCGGAUCGUCACCCCACUGAGCAAGGGCAGGGACCGAACCCUCAACCUCAUGGUUCCUAGUCGGAUUCGUUAACCACUGCGCCACGACGGGAACUCCAGUUCUCCGAUUUUUAAAUCUGAAAGAUUGCUGCUAAUCAUUCAAUUUCAUCAUAAUGUGGUUUAAGGGUUUUAUGGGGGAGAGAGAUUACUAUUUCUUUUUCUGGAAAUCCCCCAAUGAUGAUUGAAUUCCAUCUUUUCCUCCACUACCUUGUUUUCCCUGAUUUAGCAAGUGGAAAGCUGGGUUUCUCCAAAAGUGUUCGCUGCCAAAACCAGGUGGCCAGUUUCUUGCCGUAGGUUCAAAAUCUACUGAGCUUUGGACUGGCUGCCUGCGCCCAUGGCAGCUACCUGCGCCAGGGAGGCCAAGGUGGGCUUCGUGGAGGCGGCGUCGGCGGGGCGGGGCGGCUGCGCAGUGAGCAUUUCCCAAGGAAGGUCAGGGGCCGGGCUGAGUGGCUGAGUGAGGCUGGGCUGCCGGGGCCCACGGAGCUGGCCUGCACGCUGUGCGGCGCCCGCUGUCCUUCCUCCUGCACCUGUAGGUGCCGCUGCCUGGCACCGCCAUCGUCGCCUUUCACCACCGCCUCUUCCUCUUCUGCUGCCAGACGCCGUGCUGCCAUGUGUUUUUAGACAUCGGCUCCCCAGGAGAAACUACUCUACUCCUAUGAACCACCUUCUGAGCUCCCCCAGCGACAGGAGACUCCCUGAGCCUCCAGCGCAAGUGUGGGGCUCAUCUCUGCAGGGUCUGUGGCUGUCGAGGUCCCCCAAACGUGUUCCAGAUGUCACCAGGCACAUUUCUGCAGUAAGGAGCAUCAGGCACGGGACUGCAGAUUGGGACACAAGCAGGCUUGUGCACAAGCAGGUGAUUUGGACAGUACAGUUCCAGACGGGAACUGCUUUUUCCCAGAAUUUGAAAUUGUAAUAGAAACAGAAGAUGAGAUUAUGCCUGAAGCUGUAGAAAAAGAAGAUGAAUCAGAGAUUGUAGGGAGCAUGGCUGAAGCACCCGAGGAAGAACUGGAUUCUGUGCAAAGCAUGACCCUAGGGAGGAUGGAAUUUUCCAGAAGUUUAAAAUAUCCCUUGAACCAGAACAGGUCAUGCCUCAGCUGCUCAACGAGCUGAAGGCUGACAGGCUGGGCAGAGUGUUGACUGGGGCAUCCUGGCCUUCUUCACCUGUGCUGAAAGCUCUGGACUAGGUACUGGCUACACAGAGGAAUUUGUUUGCAACCAGCACGUACUAGAUACAGUUUAAAGACAAUGUUGGAAAGCUUUAAACAUAUUCAUAAUCUCUUAGACCUUGCAAUUGCAUUUCUAGGACUUUAUCCUAAGGAAACAGCUGUGCUAGAGAUACACAAAGAUCAUGUUUUAGGUCUUGUUUGCAGUGUCUUUAGAUUAGACAAAAAUGUCCACUGACAGGGAAGUCAAUUUUGGUGCAUCCCGUCGGUAGGAGGCUAUGCAGUCUUAAUGAUACAGACCUAUAUACAGAUCAAAUAAGAUAUAGACAGGUCUUCUUAGUACAACUGUAUUUUCAUAAAAACAUUUAUACCUGUGUAUGUGUCCAAAAAUGAUCUGGAAAGAUAAACACUAGAUGUGAAUUGGUCUCAACAGUGGGACUAAGUGACAAAAUAUUUCUACUUAUAUUUCUUUCUACAAUAAAAAUGGGGUGUGUGUCAAAAAACAAACAAAAACCACCACACACACAUACACACACAGUCUACCGAGUUUGGAAGAGUUUCCAGGUUGUACACCCUUCGGAUGCGCUGGGUCAUGAUUUCAGCACAUUGCAAUUGGGUUACACUUGAGAAUCCACCUACACGUCCUUUCCAAUGUGUCUGAUUGUGUUUCAAUGUGUUUGGUUGUUUUUGCUGACUUAUAAAUGUUCCGAAGAAAGAGAACCUGGCUUCCUUAGAGGACGCUUAUGAAAUGGAAAAGGUCUCACCAGGAAGGAAGUUUUCUGAAUCAGAGAGUUUCAAAGAUGAGGACAAAGGGUCAAUUACCAGUUCAGGUGCAAGAGCCUUGGCGAUGCAAAACAAGGACAGCAGAAAGAAUUGAGAGAGACAGAGGGGAGCUUUGGAGUAGAAUGAACUUGACGUUGGAAGUAAUAGGAGCGUUGAGAAGGUCUGCGGUAUCCUGGAAAGGAGGAAAGAUAAUAGCCAAAUGGAAAGAAAAGCAUAUUUUGAUCAAGCUUAUAUCUGGUAAGCGUUAUGCAUUUACCCGGGCAUGUUUUGAU